rnacentral:rRNA from 1 species
GACGUAGGGCGCAAGCGUUGUCCGGAUUUAUUGGGCGUAAAGGGCUCGUAGGUGGCCAACUAAGUCAGACGUGAAAUCCCUCGGCUUAACCGGGGAACUGCGUCUGAUACUGGAUGGCUUGAGUUCGGGAGAGGGAUGCGGAAUUCCAGGUGUAGCGGUGAAAUGCGUAGAUAUCUGGAGGAACACCGGUGGCGAAGGCGGCAUCCUGGACCGACACUGACGCUGAGGAGCGAAAGCCAGGGGAGCAAACGGG